GCUGGGUGUGGUGGUGCAUGCCUGUAAUCCCAGCUACUCGGGAGGCUGAGGCGGGAGAAUCGCUUGAACCCGGGAGGCGGAGGUUGCAGUGAGCUGAGAUUGCGCCAUUGCAUUCCAGCCUGGGUGACAGUGCGAGACUCCGUCUCAA
rnacentral:SRP_RNA from 1 species